rnacentral:tRNA from 1 species
UGUGCUGUGCCUUAAUUGGUUAAAGCGCCGGACUAGCGAUUCGGAGUCGCGGGUUCGAAUCCCAUCAAUACAA